rnacentral:lncRNA from 1 species
AUCAGCUAUGACCCAAGGAGGCCUAUUUCUCCACCAGGGGUAUGGGAAAUGGCCAAUUUUCAGAGAAGGGAGUGUGGACAGAAUUUUUCCUCCAAGAAAUCUCUGCUACAUUCCUGCUGCUAUCAGACAGAUGAGUUGGCUGGGGCCUGCAGAAUCAGAGCAGUUGGAGAAUUUGCCAAACUGUCCAUCUUGUGCCUGCUUUGUAAAAUGUCCUGUGUGGGUUGCCUAAGAAGUGACACUUGGCUUCUACUUUGACAAGAACAUCUCAACCUUUGCUGAUCCUUCCACAUCACAGAUUUUGCUCUUGGCCUUCCCUAAGCCCAGACUCAGGAUCACUUUGCACUCAUGAAUGAGCUUGACACCAGUGGGAGGAGUUAUCUUUUGAGGCAGGGUUCUGUCCCAUUCAGGGGUGCCAACCACUAACCAUUUAAUAGCCACCCACCACCCUUCCCCAUGCUUAUUGGAGACUCUGUUUACAGAAAGUUGUCUUGUCAUUCUAAUGGAAUAGACAUGUGCAAACGACCACAGUGGAAGGCUGAGUAUCAAAUUCUCCUCUCUCAACUUAUCUGGGGAGUUGUCUCCCCAGUUGCAGUUUUUUCUUAUC